AUUGAACACUGGCGGCAGGCUUAACACAUGCAAGUCGAGCGGGGUGAGGUACUUCGGUACUGAUCCUAGCGGCGGACGGGUGAGUAAUGCUUAGGAAUCUGCCAUUUAGUGGGGGACAACAUUCCGAAAGGGAUGCUAAUACCGCAUACGUCCUACGGGAGAAAGCAGGGGAUCUUCGGACCUUGCGCUAAAUGAUGAGCCUAAGUCGGAUUAGCUAGUUGGUGGGGUAAAGGCCUACCAAGGCGACGAUCUGUAGCGGGUCUGAGAGGAGGAUCCGCCACACUGGGACUGAGACACGGCACAGACUCCUCAGGGAGGCAGCAGUGGGGAAUAUUGGACAAUGGGCGGAAGCCUGAUCAAGCCAUGCCGCGUGUGUGAAGAAGGCCUUUUGGUUGUAAAGCACUUUAAGCGAGGAGGAGGCUACCUGGAUUAAUACUCUAGGAUAGUGGACGUUACUCACAGAAUAAGCACCGGCUAACUCUGUGCCAGCCGCCGCGGUAAGAC
rnacentral:rRNA from 1 species